UGGGGAAUAUUGCACAAUGGGCGAAAGCCUGAUGCAGCGACGCCGCGUGAGGGAUGACGGCCUUCGGGUUGUAAACCUCUUUCAGCAGGGACGAAGCGCAAGUGACGGUACCUGCAGAAGAAGCACCGGCUAACUACGUGCCAGCAGCCGCGGUAAUACGUAGGGUGCAAGCGUUGUCCGGAAUUACUGGGCGUAAAGAGUUCGUAGGCGGUUUGUCGCGUCGUUUGUGAAAACCAGCAGCUCAACUGCUGGCUUGCAGGCGAUACGGGCAGACUUGAGUACUGCAGGGGAGACUGGAAUUCCUGGUGGAGCGGUGAAAUGCGCAGAUAUCAGGAGGAACACCGGUGGCGAAGGCGGGUCUCUGGGCAGUAACUGACGCUGAGGAGCGAAAGCGUGGGUAGCGAACAGG
rnacentral:rRNA from 1 species